UACGUAGGUGGCAAGCGUUGUCCGGAUUUAUUGGGUUUAAAGGGUGCGUAGGCGGCCUUAUAAGUCAGUGCUGAAAUAUCCCAGCUUAACUGGGAGGGUGGCAUUGAUACUGCGGGGCUAGAGUACAGAUGAGGUAGGCGGAAUUGACGGUGUAGCGGUGAAAUGCUUAGAUAUCGUCAAGAACACCUAUAGCGAAGGCAGCUUACUAGGCUGUAACUGACGCUGAGGCACGAAAGUGUGGGGAUCAAACAGG
rnacentral:rRNA from 1 species